AAGUCGUAACAAGGUUUUCGUAGGUGAACCUGCGGAAGGAUCAUUAGUGAAUCGUGGAUUCCUCUGCAAAGAGAAGGUCCAUUUUACACUUUCACAAACACCUGUGCACUUGUUCUUUUCUGCGUUUGGCAAAUUCACGUUUGUCCGAACAAAGAAAUUUACUCAUAAACACUUGUGAUAAAAUAUUAAAAAGUCAAUGAUGUAAAAAUCUGAUAAUGAAAGUAAAACUUUCAGCAAUGGAUCUCUUGGCUCUC
rnacentral:misc_RNA from 1 species